UCCCUGAUGGUACAAUGGUUAGGACGUGGCACUUUCACUGCCAGGGCCAGGGUUCAAUCCCUGGUUGGGGAA
rfam:Ovis aries breed Texel chromosome 13, whole genome shotgun sequence.